rnacentral:rRNA from 1 species
GACAGAGGGUGCAAACGUUGCUCGGAAUCACUGGGCGUAAAGGGCGCGUAGGCGGCCUUCUAAGUCGAACGUGAAAUCCCCGGGCUCAACCCGGGAACUGCGUCCGAUACUGGAAGGCUUGAAUCCGGGAGAGGGAUGCGGAAUUCCAGGUGUAGCGGUGAAAUGCGUAGAUAUCUGGAGGAACACCGGUGGCGAAGGCGGCAUCCUGGACCGGCAUUGACGCUGAGGCGCGAAAGCCAGGGGAGCAAACGGG